GACGAACGCUAGCGGCGUGCUUAACACAUGCAAGUCGAGCGGAAAGGCCCUGCUUUUGUGGGGUGCUCGAGGGGCGAACGGGUGAGUAACACGUGAGUAACCUGCCCUUGACUUUGGGAUAACUUCAGGAAACUGGGGCUAAUACCGGAUAGGAGCUCCUGCUGCAUGGUGGGGGUUGGAAAGUUUCGGCGGUUGGGGAUGGACUCGCGGCUUAGCAGCUUGUUGGUGGGGGAGUGGCUUACCAAGGCUUUGGCGGGUAGCCGGCCUGAGAGGGUGACCGGCCAAAUGGGGACUGAGAUACGGCCCAGAGUCCUACGGGAGGCAGCAGUGGGGAAUAUUGCACAAUGGGCGGAAGCCUGAUGCAGCAACGCCGCGUGCUGGAUGAUGGCCUUCGGGUUGUAAACCGCUUUCGCCUGUGACGAAGCGUGAGUGACGGUAAUGGGUAAAGAAGCACCGGCUAACUACGUG
rnacentral:rRNA from 1 species